AUCCUGUAAGUUGUAACCUUCUUCCUCUCCUUCCUGUCCUACCAGAGUUUGAGCAGUAUUAUAAUUAUUUUGACUUUGGACGCAACAGCUCUAAAUAAUGAUGUUGUUAUGUAUC